rnacentral:rRNA from 1 species
CCGCACGCGCGCUACACUGACAGAGCCAACGAGUUCAUUUCCUUAGCCGAAAGGUUUGGGUAAUCUUGUUAAACUCUGUCGUGCUGGGGAUAGAGCAUUGCAAUUAUUGCUCUUCAACGAGGAAUGCCUAGUAAGCGCAUGUCAUCAGCAUGCGUUGAUUACGU